rnacentral:rRNA from 1 species
CGGCACGCUUAACACAUGCAAGUCGAACGAGAAACCCGAGCUUGCUCGGGUGGACAGUGGCAGACGGCUUAGUAACGCGUGGGUAUCUACCUAGAGGUUUGGAACAACUAUUGGAAACGAUAGCUAAUACCAAAUAUUCCCUACGGGGGAAAGAUUUAUCGCCUUUAGAUGAGCCCGCGUCGGAUUAGCUUGUUGGUAGGGUAAAGGCCUACCAAGGCUACGAUCCGUAGCUGGUCUGAGAGGAUGAUCAGCAAGAUUGGGACUGAGACACGGCCCAGACUCCUACGGGAGGCAGCAGUGGGGAAUAUUGCGCAAUGGGGGAAACCCUGACGCAGCGAUGCCGCGUGAGUGAAGAAGGCCCUAGGGUUGUAAAACUCUUUCACCGGUGAAGAUAAUGACGGUAGCCGGAGAAGAAGCCCCGGCUAACUCCGUGCC